rnacentral:ncRNA from 1 species
GCAUGAAUGAUUACGAGAUCCUACUGUCCUAUCUACUAUCUAGCGAAACCACAGCAAGGGAACGGGCUUGAAUAAUUAGCGGGGAAAGAAGACCCUUUUGAGCUUGACUCUAAUCUGGCAGUGUAAGGAGACAUAAGAGGUGUAGAAUAAGUGGGAGAUAUUAGACCUCGGUUUGGUAUCGUCAAUGAAAUACCACUACUCUUAUUGUUUCCUUACUUACUUGAUUAAAUGGAACGUGUAUCAUUUCCUAGCCAUUAUACGGAUAUAUUUAUUAUAUCUUAUGGUAUUGGGUUUUGAUGCAAGCUUCUUGAUCAAAGUAUCACGAGUUUGUUAUAUAAUCGCAAACAAAUUCUUUAAUAAAACGAUGCAUUUAUGUAUUUUUGAUUUGAAAAUUUGGUAUAACUCCAAUUACUCAGGUAUGAUCCAAUUCAAGGACAUUGCCAGGUAGGGAGUUUGACUGGGGCGGUACAUCUCUCAAAUAAUAACGGAGGUGUCCCAAGGCCAGCUCAGUGCGGACAGAAACCACACAUAGAGCAAAAGGGCAAAUGCUGACUUGAUCUCGGUGUUCAGUACACACAGGGACAGCAAAAGCUCGGCCUAUCGAUCCUUUUGGUUUAAAGAGUUUUUAACAGGAGGUGUCAGAAAAGUUACCAUAGGGAUAACUGGCUUGUGGCGGCCAAGCGUUCAUAGCGACGUCGCUUUUUGAUCCUUCGAUGUCGGCUCUUCCUAUCAUUGUGAAGCAAAAUUCACCAAGCGUUGGAUUGUUCACCCAUGCAAGGGAACGUGAGCUGGGUUUAGACCGUCGUGAGACAGGUUAGUUUUACCCUACUAAUGACAAAACGUUGUUGCGACAGCAUUCCUGCGUAGUACGAGAGGAACCGCAGGUACGGACCAAUGGCACAAUACUUGUUCGAGCGAACAGUGGUAUGACGCUACGUCCGUUGGAUUAUGCCUGAACGCCUCUAAGGUCGUAUCCGUGCUGGACUGCAAUGAUAAAUAAGGGGCAAUUUGCAUUGUAUGGCUUCUAAACCAUUUAAAGUUUAUAAUUUAUUUUAUAAACGACAAUGGAUGUGAUGCCAAUGUAAUUUGUAACAUAGUAAAUUAGGAGGAUCUUCGAUCACCUGAUGCCGCGCUAGUUACAUAUAAAAGCAUUAUUUAAUACAAUGACAAAGCCUAGAAUCAAUUGUAAACGACUUUUGUAACAGGCAAGGUGUUGUAAGUGGUUGAGCAGCUGCCAUACUGCGAUCCACUGAAGCUUAUCCUUUGCUUGAUGAUUCGA